rnacentral:rRNA from 1 species
GACGAACGCUGGCUGCAGGCCUAACACAUGUAAGUUGAGCGGAGCGGCUGACGGGUGAGUAAUGCCUAGGAAUCCGCCUGGUCGUGGGGGAUAACGUCCGGAAACGGGAGCUAAUAUCGCAUACUAUCAGAUGAGCCUAGGUCGGAGUAGCUAGUUGGUGGGGUAACGUCCUACCAAGGCGACGAUCCGUAACUGGUCUGAGAGGAUGAUCAGUCACACUGGAACGGAGACCGAGUCCAGACGCAUACGGGAGGCAGCAGUUGGGAAUAUUGGAUAGUGGGCGAAAGCCUGAUCCAGCCAUGCCGCGUGUGUGAAGGAGGUCUUCGGAUUGUAAGGCGCUUUAAGUUGGGAGGCGUUACCCACAGAAUGAGCACCGGCUAACUCCGUGCCAGCAGCCGCGGUAAUUC